rnacentral:rRNA from 1 species
UACGUAGGGUGCAAGCGUUGUCCGGAAUUAUUGGGCGUAAAGAGCUCGUAGGCGGUUUGUCGCGUCUGCUGUGAAAACGCGAGGCUCAACCUCGCGCCUGCAGUGGGUACGGGCAGACUAGAGUGCGGUAGGGGAGAUUGGAAUUCCUGGUGUAGCGGUGGAAUGCGCAGAUAUCAGGAGGAACACCAAUAGCGAAGGCAGCUCGCUGGGACGUUACUGACACUGGAGGCGCGAAAGCGUGGGGAGCGAACAGGA